AUUGAACGCUGGCGGCAGGCCUAACACAUGCAAGUCGAGCGAGCGGCGGACGGGUGAGUAAUGUCUGGGAAACUGCCUGAUGGAGGGGGAUACCUACUGGAAACGGUAGCUAAUACCACCUACCAUCAGAUGUGCCCAGAUGGGAUUAGCUAGUAGGUGGGGUAAUGGCUCACCUAGGCGACGAUCUCUAGCUGGUCUGAGCGGAUGACCAGCCACACUGGAACUGAGAGACGGUCCAGACUCCUACGGGAGGCAGCAGUGGGGAAUAUUGCACAAUGGGCGCAAGCCUGAUGCAGCCAUGCCGCGUGUAGGAAGAAGGCCUUCGGGUUGUAAAGCACUUUCAGCGAGGAGGCGUUACUCGCAGAAGAAGCACCGGCUAACUCCGUGCCAGCAGCCGCGGUAAUUC
rnacentral:rRNA from 1 species